rnacentral:rRNA from 1 species
GAUGAACGCUGGCGGCGUGCCUAAUACAUGCAAGUCGAACGCUGGAAAUCUAGCUUGCUAGAUUGAAGGAGUGGCGAACGGGUGAGUAAUACAUAAGCAACCUACCCACGAAGACUGGGAUAAUCUCUGGAAACGGGGACUAAUACCGGAUAGGUAAUCGGAAGGCAUCUUCUGAUUAUUAAAGGUUAAAAACACUGGUGGAUGGGCUUAUGGCGCAUUAGUUAGUUGGUGAGGUAACGGCCCACCAAGACGAUGAUGCGUAGCCGGCCUGAGAGGGUGAACGGUCACAUUGGGACUCGGACCCGGCCCAGACGUCAACCGGCGGCAGGCGUAGGGAAUUUGUGGCAAUAGGGGAAACCCUGACCGAGCAACGCCGCGUGAGUGAUGACGGCCUUCGGGUUGUAAAGCUCUGUUGUAAGGGAAGAACGGUAGAUAGAGAAUAUCUAAAUGACGGUACCUUACCAGAAAGCCACGGCUAACUACGUG